UGUCGUUUUCGUUUAAUACCAGUGUAAAACAGAACAAGCAUGAUACAAGUUUUGAAAAGGAGACUAAUUAACUGUUUAAGGUUUCAAAGGAAAACAAAACGAUCACUUUUUUUGGACGUAACGAAAAUGAAAUUGCAAAAAUGUGGCGAAAAAUAAUAAUGCGAAAUUUGGUGUCGAAACUUUCCAUGCUCUCCAUGCUGUUUUUGGCGGGUAAAUACUCGGAAUGAAUAUGGGAUGACUAUGGGAGCUGAAUUAGAAGAGUUCAACUUGUUCCAAGUAUGAGACCUGAGCCAGCCAUCGUAACAGCAAAGUUUUGCUUGUGCUGGACCGCCAGUCACAUAUGAUUUGACUGAUGAUGACCUCCUGCCAUCAGCAACUAUCACAGUGUCAUUGCUUAGAUAAACAGCAUCCCGUUCCAUUGGAAAAACUACCCAGCUGUCGACCGAGUUCAGGAUCUCUCCUUUUCCCUUUUCUUUAAAUGUCCUCGUGUAUGCCCAUGUGAAUGUGGGUGUAUUCACGAGGACUCCCUUUUUACACUAUCCCUUCUGUUGGAUUCAACUUUCCUGUGGACGAGAGCGACUGUAGAUGCUUGGCCGUAUUUCCCAGGCUUAAAGGUAGGACAAGUUCAUUUCUAUCCUUCCUUUCUGGCAAUUGAGUGGCGUUGAUUUUACAUAGUUAUGGAGUACGAUUAUUCCUGGGCCAUUGGCUGAAACUGUUUCAUCUUGCUGUUUUUUGUUUUUCUCAGUCAUCUAACUAGCUCACGUGUAGAACAACUGCAGAUCAGGCCUGUUUUUGUAAAACUUUGUCUGUGGCUAAACCAUCAAAUUCAGAAAUAGUUGAACUUGAAUCAAAGUGCAACUUGAACAAUUUGCCACCACACCGGCACUUCCUGGUUGGGGUGGAUCAGACCGUCAGCAGGUUAAUCUGAAAUCUGUUUUUCCAUUUUAUUAUUUAUUAUUUUUUUUUGCCUGGAUCAAUCAACCCCUACAAGGAAGAGAAGCCAACUCAAUAGUGACUCUACCAGUUGGAAUAGUUGUUGUAUGCCAAGACGAUGUUGUCGGUAAGAAAUCCAAACAUUUCCAGAUUUCGCACGCAACUUGGAAAAGGAGGAUCUAAUGGGGAAUGAGGUCCUCUCUACAUGACACACAUUGUAGAGAGCUUAUUCGAUUCAGUAGGGAAAGAAGUAACGGCAGAUGAGUGAAAGUUGACGAGCAACUCGAUGGGAGAUUUCAAUGGGCCAUACGAAUAAUUGAUUUCUGGUUUUUUUGGUUCUUCUCUCUCUAGAGAUAAUGUGAGCCCUUAUAUUCAUCUUUUCCCUUUUUCUCCUAAAAUCAAUGCGGCCUGAUUUUGUUUCAUUGAUUUAUUCUUCUUCUGGUUGUUUGUCGAGAUCGCCCCGUACCAGAUAGUCGAUUCAAUCAGGUCUAGAAACAAAAACAAAACAAAAAUGUAAUGAGAAAACCUGUCUUUUAGCGUGUGCCCCGGAGAAAAUGGCCAAGUUGCGUCAAGCAUUUCUUCGUUGUUACCAACGGCCAAUGCUCACGUGAACUUUGGUUGACAACAAUCAGAUUCAAAUCUUUUUCGUCCUUAUUAUAAUACCGAUGGCCCAUAUACCGUUUGUUUUUUCAGGAAUAACUUUUCGCAACUCCUUUUUUUGUUUUUAAUUGGAUAAAUCUGACCACUUUCCAUUGUUUGAUUUUGCGAAUGUUGCAAAAAGACAAAAGAAUUUAAGGGCGUGAAUCAUACGCCACACAUGGCUAUAGACUUCGCCAGUGCCCAUCGGACAUGUAAAAGAUUGCCAAUGACCAAAUUGACAAAGACGUUGAUUGCCAUCGACGGUUUUGCCGAUGGUUGAAAUUGAUUGGCAUUUUUCGAGUGCCGUUUUCACUUUUUCUUUCUCCCCGAUUGUUUUUUGUUCUCCACCGUCGUCGUCGUCGUCGGUUUGGCAAGAAUCCAAAAGGAAAUGAGUUCUCGUGUCCAGCGUGAGAGAGUUGAGACACACUGCUGCUGGUGCUGGCAGAGAUAUGACAAAAACAAAAGCAGCAAAGACAAAACAAAUGGGGUAGACCAAAAAACAUUCCGCCCAAUCACAGUCGAGUUGCCAUCAAGUGAAACUGCUGACCCAGUUUCAGUUUCAAGUUGCUGCUGGCCGCCAGCUCCUAGCGGUAUUUGGCCAAGCCUGUUUUUAUUUUAUCUUUUGAUUCGUGUAGAUUUUUGUGUGUUGAUUUAUUCGGCGCUGUUGCAUCGUAUCAGGCGCCCGCAUCACCACCAACUCUUGCUCUCAUUUCAAUGUUAACAUUGACGCCAUGCGAAGAAAUGUAGAAACAGAUGGCCAUUGGCUUUGAAAUUCAGAAGAAAAUAACUCUGCGGAUAGGCGCAACAGCUCGGCGGUUGGGUGCGCUUUCGUUUAUUCCUGGACAUCAACGAGCGAACACCAAAUGUUGUUGGUUAUUAUUAAUUUUUUUCCUACCGACAGACUCGACCACGGCCACCCGUGACAGUGAAAACGGGCGUCGAGGAAAUUUUUGUUUAAAUCCAACCGCCGUUUUCUCGUUCAUUCAUUCCCGCGCUGGGGCCUGGGAAAAUGUUUCUGGUUGGCUUUUUUGCCAUUGUUUUCAUUUUCUUUUCUCUUUCCACUCGGAAAAUAUUUUUUUCGGUUGUUUUCUUUUCUUUUUCCCCCCAUUUUUAUACGACGCAUAUUUUUUCGCUGAGACUUUUCAUAGGAAAUGUCAAGGACGCAUUGCGCACGCUCAUUUCCUCCGAAACUUUCCAUUUCAGAGCCGCUAGAUUUUUUUCGUUUUUUUUUUAUCGUGUCGCUUUUUUUUUUGUUGUUAUUUUGGCGUGAGCGUGAUUCGUCUAUUGCCGCUUCGUUCCUUUUUUUCCUGAUCUUUUCCGUACUGUUUUUUUUUCUGUUAGUUGUGUGUCGGCGUUACCCAUGAACUGCGCAGCGACGUGAAAUCUUUUUUUUUUCUUCUCUACCGUUAUUUUUAUUGUCUAGCCACAACAGCAGAGAGUGUGUCACGACCGCACAAUUGCUCAGGAAGUGUUACACGCAAUGGGUAUAUGUUUCGAUUCCCCCCUCCAUUUCUUCUUCUUCCCCGCAGCACCAGAGUUAUUAUACAACACGGAUUCAUUUUCUGCGUCUAUUUGGCCAAUUAGAAUCUCUCUCUUUCAAAUCUCAUCGCCAAGGCCGAAUUUGUGUAUUAAUUAAACGAUAAUCGGCCAACCGAUAAUUGAUUGAACGCCGCCCAACUGAAAAAAUUUUCAAAAUUCCCAAAAUUUUAAAAGUUAACGUCUUGAUCCAUCGCCAUGACAGCUUGUUCACACCACCAUUUGCGUAGGCCUAUACAUCCUCCACUACAGCAUAAUAACAAUCAAUCUAAUGGGGAAUACACAAGAGGAGAUUUCUAGGAAGCGCUUGGACCGAUGGCCAAAAUGCGGAGGGGAAUUUCUUUUCACGCCUACACACACGCAGACACUUGUAGAGAGUGCGUGAAUCGAAAUAAGAGAAACGCUUGUGUGUGUGUGUCUACGACAACAAAGAGGCUCGUUUAUUCGGAGAAACCCCAUUUGGCACUGUGUGCUAUGGGUCUUAUUCCCUUUAGACUUACGGACGAGUGAGAGCUCUUUAACCGACACUUUAACUGAAGGGAAAUUCAUUUUUUUCUUUUACUUCACGCCAAGAUUUACGACACUAGGACACUCCCCCAUAGUCUGUUGUAUUCAAUUCUAUUGUUGCGGUUGUGUUGGAUGGUUUGUUUGCUCUUGCUCUUGCUCAAUCAUUUAGUACUCUAACGACUUUAGAGCACGGAACGUUAGCGUCCACUUAACCGUACACACUCUAGAACACCGUGUACCCAAAGGGAGUUGAUAUUGACACAGACAAAUUGUUUCAAUCACAACCAGGAAGACGUUUUAACGGGAAAAACGUCACCUGCGUGAACCCCCCCAAAAAGAAAAAAUAUUUCAAGUCUUUAUUUUUCUGGCAGGCCAAGUGACUAAUGACUUCAUCUCAGCAGAAUGCCGCAAUGUCUCUAUCAGCGUGAGUCUUGUUUUUUUGGCGAUAGAAAUAAAUGACCGUGCUGCUGGCCGUGUGGAAAAACUGAGAAUUUCGACCCAAAAAGUACAUAGCCAAAGCGGCAUUUAACAGGCUAGCGACAACUUUCUUUGAAGCGCAGAAUAACACGGUGGCGCUUUACCUUAUUGUUUGACUGGCGAUUGUCUUUUUUUUUUCCUCUCUAGACAUGUUUGUCCUAGCUGCUGCUGUUGGUGUAAAAGGUUAUAUGGCGUUCAGGGUCUCGUGUGUGUCUAUCUUUGGGCUACUGUCAGAGAGACGCGGCCGACAGCAACGGAAAAGUCUACAUUGGAGAUUUUAUUUUUUUUUUUAGACUUGUUGUCCAUUAACCAAUUUAGAAGUCGGAUAGAAUUGCCCACCCCGUCCAAAAAAAAGGAGAAGCCAAGAAAAGAAAAGAAAAACAAGCAAAUAAAAGAGACAGAAGAAAAAGAGAUGGGCCCGCUUCGGAGAAUCCGAUUUCUAAUUUUGUGAUACAACAACAUAACAGCCCGUGUACGGCGGAUGAACAGGGAACAGGUUUUGCCAGCAUCGCAUCGACUCGUCAAACUGUUUGAGACUGUGCUGCGUGCAUACAUAUAGACGAGAGAUUGGAAUACAUCUUUUGGCUUUUUGGGCUUCAACAGUUGCCAACCAACAAAACACAAAUGCAAUCUGGCUAAACGUAUAUAUAUACAGUCCGUUAUUAUAUUCUCAUAUUCAUGGCUGGCCGACCGAUUUGCAUAAAAUAACAGCAUAUUCGGCGCUAUUUUUUUUUCCUUCUUUUUUUUGGCCGUUUAGACAUUUGUACAGUUUUCGUAUAGUACGAUGAUGAGCCUACGGACAAGGUCGACGUAAUCCGCCUCCGGUCUAGCGCGGGUCCGUCUCUUGAUUAUUAUUUGAAUUUCUUUUUAAAAAAGGCGGAAAAAGAGUCAAGGUAAUAGUGCGUCUUUAUAUCGACUGAUGCUGCUAGUGCUGUAGU